GAAUUCGCCCUUAGAGUUUGAUCCUGGCUCAGGAUGAACGCUGGCGGCGUGCUUAACACAUUCAAGUCGUACGGGAACUUACCACGGAAGUCCUUCGGGAUGGAAGAGAUAAGUUUUAGUGGCGGACGGGUGAGUAACGCGUGAGCAAUCUGCCUUUGUGAGGGGAAUAACGUUUGGAAACGAACGCUAAUACCGCAUAAAGUAUUCGGAUCGCAUGGUUUGAAUACCAAAGAGAAAUCGCACAAAGAUGAGCUCGCGUCCGAUUAGAUAGUUGGUGAGGUAACGGCCCACCAAGUCGACGAUCGGUAGCCGGACUGAGAGGUUGAACGGCCACAUUGGAACUGAGAAACGGUCCAGACUCCUACGGGAGGCAGCAGUGGGGAAUAUUGGGCAAUGGGCGAAAGCCUGACCCAGCGACGCCGCGUGAGGGAAGAAGGUCUUCGGAUUGUAAACCUUAGUUAUUGGGGAAGAAGAAAGUGACGGUACCCAAAGAGAAAGCCACGGCUAACUACGUGCCAGCAGCCGCGGUAAUACGUAGGUGGCGAGCGUUAUCCGGAAUUACUGGGUUUAAAGGGUGCGCAGGCGGGCGAUUAAGUCAGCGGUGAAAGGCUCGGGCUCAACCGGAGCAGUGCCGUUGAUACUGGUUGUCUUGAAUGCGGUCAAGGCCGGCGGAAUGUGGCAUGUAGCGGUGAAAUGCGUAGAGAUCAGGAAGAACACCGAUGGCGAAGGCAGCUUGCUGGGGACUAAUCGACGCUCAUGCUCGAAAGUGCGGGUAGCAAACAGGAUUAGAUACCCUGGUAGUCCGCACCGUAAACGAUGCAUACUGGGUGUCCGCGGUUCGCCGCGGGUACCGUAGCCAACGCGUUAAGUAUGCCGCCUGGGGAGUACGUACGCAAGUAUGAAACUCAAAGGAAUUGACGGGGGCCCGCACAAGCGGUGGAGCAUGUGGUUUAAUUCGAAGCAACGCGCAGAACCUUACCAGGGUUUGACAUGGGAACGCCGCGGCGAGAGAUCGCCGUUUGUAGCAAUACACGUUCCGCACAGGUGCUGCAUGGCUGUCGUCAGCUCGUGUCGUGAGAUGUUGGGUUAAGUCCCGCAACGAGCGCAACCCACGUUUCCAGUUGCCACCCGCGAGGGGGCCCUCUGGAGAGACUGCCGGGGACAACCCGGAGGAAGGUGUGGAUGACGUCAAGUCCUCAUGGCCCUUACAUCCUGGGCUACACACGUGCUACAAUGGGCGGUACAAUGGGCUGCCAGACCGCGAGGUCGAGCGAAUCCCCAAAGCCGGUCCCAGUUCGGAUCGGAGGCUGCAACCCGCCUCCGUGAAGUCGGAGUUGCUAGUAAUCGCAGAUCAGAAUGCUGCGGUGA
rnacentral:rRNA from 1 species